CAGCCUACGGGACGCAGCAGUGAGGAAUAUUGGUCAAUGGGAGGGAUCCUGAACCAGCCAAGUCGCGUGAGGGAUGACGGUCCUAUGGAUUGUAAACCUCUUUUGUCGGGGAGCAAGGCCCGCCACGUGUGGCGGGAAGGAGAGUACCCGAAGAAAAAGCAUCGGCUAACUCCGUGCCAGCAGCCGCGGUAAUACGGAGGAUGCGAGCGUUAUCCGGAUUUAUUGGGUUUAAAGGGUGCGUAGGCGGAAGGUUAAGUCAGCGGUCAAAUGUCGGUGCUCAACACCGGCCUGCCGUUUAAACGGGG
rnacentral:rRNA from 1 species